AGGAGAGGAUGUGGAACCAUAUUAUACUUUUUCUUUCGGCUGGGAGAGAACUUUCUUCUGCUCCUCUUGUCAUGAUUAGAUCGAAGUCACUGCUAAAUUAAUAGCCUAUUUUUCUGUCUUCUCAUGAAAGGCCGUUAAUAUUAUCAUCUCAUGUUUAUUCUUUUAUUUUUUCUUCUAAAGCCUAUAGCCACUGGAGAGCCGAUGACAGCCGUUUUAAAAUUCUCAUCCCCUUAUUCAACAUGCAGUACAGGACAUUUUUAUUUUGAGUUAAAAUACUUGUGAGAGGAUCUCACAAUCGUCUCUCCACCAACAACUACUCAUUGUGACAUGUUUCCACUUAGCAUGUUUUGCCAUAAUUUCAGAGUGGGAAUGGCACCCUGGAUGUCAUUGAGCGACUAGCUGGAUGGCUUUCUCUAGUCCAGUAGCUGUAUCCUUGUUUUACACCAAGCUGUUACAUGGUUAACAUUGAACAUUUUUAAAAAAUUAAUGAAUAAAGAAAGGAAGAAAUGCAAAAAAAGAAACAUAUCCUAAAUAUCUACAAGAAAGUCUUGGUUCUCAAGAACUGGAAGCCAGACAGUGAACCAGAAUCAUCCGUUUAUUCUGAUACAGUGAAAACUUCAACACAGUUGCAACACUGCAAGUCUGAAAACUCAGCGAACAGGAGAGCAAAAUAGAAAAGAAAAACACAAAAUGAGAAGAUGUCCUGGCAUCUGAACAACGUGAUAACUUUCUCCUGUCAACGGCAUACUUAGUUUUCAAGGAAAGAAAUUUUGGGUAGAUCAAGCUUAUCUGCUCAGCAUAAAGCCUUGGCUUCUAAUUAUACAUAUAUGAUCCAUCAUUCCCUCAUUCCCACAUUCUAAAAUUUGCACCAUAGGUAUAUCUGCAUUCAUACUAAUGUUAUGUACAAGUAUUAUAUAUUGCAGAAUCGUGCUACUAGCAAAAUAUUGGAAGUAAUACCAAUACCUGUUGAUGAGGAAACUGUUAAACUAUGACACAACUACACAAUGGAAUAAGAAAGUUUUCUAGGUACUGAUAUGAAAAUAUGUGUAGGUAUACAGUCUGUGUGAGAAGAAAAAAUAAAAAAUAUAUAGUCAUAUUUCUUGGAUCUCUGUAAGAAAUACUAGAACUAAAAGGAAGGACUUUAAAAAUUGGCUUCUGAUACAGGAUUGAGGAUUAGGG